GUAGUUCGAGUCCGUGCACGACGACGACGCUGGCGGCGUGCCUAACACAUGCAAGUCGAACGGGGUCCAUGAGAGCUUGCUCUCGGAAGACCUAGUGGCGAACGGGUGAGUAACACGUGAGAAACCUGCCUCGGAGUGGGGAAUAACUCGGGGAAACUCGAGCUAAUACCGCAUACCUUCAGAUGAUCGCAUGGUCGACUGAAGAAAGAAUUUCGCUCUGAGAGGGUCUCGCGGCCUAUCAGCUUGUUGGUGGGGUAACGGCCCACCAAGGCAACGACGGGUAGCUGGAUUGAGAGAUCGAUCAGCCACACUGGAACUGAGACACGGUCCAGACUCCUACGGGAGGCAGCAGUGGGGAAUCUUGCGCAAUGGGCGAAAGCCUGACGCAGCAACGCCGCGUGCGGGAUGACGGCCUUCGUGGUUGUAAACCGCUUUCAGCAGGGACGAAAAUGACGGUACCUGCAGAAGAAGCCCCGGCUAACUACGUG
rnacentral:rRNA from 1 species